rnacentral:rRNA from 1 species
UACGUAGGGGGCAAGCGUUGUCCGGAUUUAUUGGGCGUAAAGAGCGUGUAGGCGGUUUGGUAGGUCCGUUGUGAAAACUCGAGGCUCAACCUCGAGACGCCGAUGGAAACCAUCAGACUAGAGUCCGGAAGAGGAGAGUGGAAUUCCUGGUGUAGCGGUGAAAUGCGCAGAUAUCAGGAGGAACACCGGUGGCGAAGGCGGGUCUCUGGGCCGUAACUGACGCUGAGGAGCGAAAGCAUGGGGAGCGAACAGG